rnacentral:rRNA from 1 species
GAAAGUAGGAAAGGGCGCAUGGCGGAUGCCUUGGCUCUCGGAGGCGAUGAAGGACGUGAUAAGCUGCGAUAAGCUUUGGGGAGGUGCAAAUGACCUUUGAUCCAGAGAUUUCCGAAUGGGACAACCCAAUAUCUUGAAGAGGUAUUAUCCAACGUUGUUGGAGGCUAACGCAGGGAACUGAAACAUCUUAGUACCUGCAGGAAAAGAAAAUAAAUAAUGAUUCCCCUAGUAGUGGCGAGCGAACGGGGACUAGCCCAAACCACCUAUGUUACGGCAUAUGUGGGGUUGUAGGACCACGUUGUGGCAAGAAAACUGGUGAGUAGAAUGUUCUGGAAAGUUCAACCAUAGAGCAUGAUAGUUGCGUAUACGAAGCCAGUCGAAGCCUAGUGGUAUCCUGAGUAGCGCGGAGCACGAGGAAUUCUGCGUGAAUCAGCCGGGACCAUCCGGUAAGGCUAAAUACUCCCGAGAGACCGAUAGUGAACCAGUACUGUGAAGGAAAGGUGAAAAGCACUUCGAACAGAAGAGUGAAAUAGUUCCUGAAACCAUGCGCCUACAAGCGGUCGGAGCUCUAACGAGUGACGGCGUGCCUUUUGCAUAAUGAACCUACGAGUUACUUUUUCCGGCAAGGUUAAGGGUCUUGAGACCUGCAGCCGAAGCGAAAGCGAGUCUUAACAGGGCGUUCAGUCGGAAGGAGUAGACGCGAAACCAAGUGAUCUACCCUUGGGCAGGUUGAAGGAUGGGUAACACCAUCUGGAGGACCGAACCAAUAAGCGUUGAAAAGCUUCUGGAUGACCUGAGGGUGGGGGUGAAAGGCUAAUCAAACUUGGAGAUAGCUCGUACUCCCCGAAAUGCAUUUAGGUGCAGCCUUGCGGGUUACUGAUGUGAGGUAGAGCGACUGAUAAGAUGCGAGGGCUUCACCGCCUAUCAAGUCUUGACAAACUCCGAAUGCGUGUCAGUUCUAUGUCAGGAGUGAGGGCAUGGGUGCUAAGGUCCAUGUCCUAAAGGAGAACAAUCCGGACCAACAGCUAAGGUCCCGAAAUGAAUACUAAGUUGAACUAACGAAGUCAGAUUGCUAAGACAGCUAGGAUGUUGGCUUGGAAGCAGCCAUUCAUUUAAAGAGUGCGUAACAGCUCACUAGUCGAGGAGUUUUGCAUGGAUAAUAAUCGGGCAUAAGCCCUUUACCGAAGCUGUGGAUGUCGUAAGACAUGGUAGGGGAGCAUUCCGGCGGCGACGAAGGCCGUCCUCGAGGACGACUGGAGCUUUCGGAAAAGCAAAUGUAGGUAUAAGUAACGAUAAAGGGGGCGUGAAACCCCCUCGCCAUAAGACUAAGGAUUCCUGAUCAACGCUAAUCGGAUCAGGGUAAGUCGGGCCCUAAGGCGCAGCCGAACGGCGUAGCCGAUGGAAGAAACGGUAAAGAUUCCGUUACUGGAUAUAGGAGCGAUGUGGAGACGGAGAAGUGACACACCCGCCUGCCGACGGAAGCGCAGGUUAAAGGAAGUAGGUAAACGCCGGGUAGGCAAAUCCGCCCAGCGUGCCGAAGCUGACAGUAUCGAGAGCCCCCGGGCAAUCGAAUAGCGGUGGUAACCAGGCUCCCAAGAAAAUCCGCUAAGCAUAUUCUAUAUCCACCCGUACCCCAAACGGACACACGUAGUCGGGUAGAAUAUACCAAGGCGCUCGAAAGACUCACGGUUAAGGAACUAGGCAAAUUGACCCUGUAACCUCGGGAAAAAGGGUCCCCAGUAAGAUGGGGCGCAGAGAAUAGGUCCAGGCAACUGUUUAACAAAAACACAGGGCUGUGCGAAAUUUCAAGAUGAAGUAUACAGCCUGACACCUGCCCGGUGCCGGAAGGUUAAGAGGAGAGCUUAUCGCAAGAGAAGGCUUGAAUUGAAGCCCCGGUAAACGGCGGCCGUAACUAUAACGGUCCUAAGGUAGCGAAAUUCCUUGUCAGGUAAG